GAAGAAUGGGAAGAAUGCAAGUCUAUGGUGACUGUGGUGGCAGAGAAUGGGGACAGUUAAGAGAGCUAAUUCUUCCUGAUGUACAUGUUGGAGCUGACCUGACUUCCAAGUUCUGUCACCUGCACCUGUUGUCUGAGGGUUUUCCUGUGCCUCCACAGGCCACUUUGUCUGAACACCUGCCAUCUGGAAACAUGAUACACCAGGAGUUGUCAUUUACCAGUGAACACUGAAGUAGAUUACAAAUACAAUUACAGUGAUGAAGAUUUAUUGUAAUUUGAAAUGGCAUUAAAAAGCAAUGACAUAAUUAUAAUGUUAAUUAAAAGACAACGAGUCUUAUUGGAUAAAAUUAUCAGAAAUUGCAAAAUGCAAGUAAUAUAUUCUUGCAUAAUGCAUGAAAAAUAAAAAUUAAUAUAUUUUUCAUAUCCCCCCUUUUUUCCCCAGAGACAGGGCCUCACUUUGUUGCCUAGACUGGAGCACAGGUUAGAUCACUUUACACUAUAACUUGGAACACCAGGCCUCAAGGCUUCCUCCUGUCUCAGCCCUGGAGUAGCUAAGAUUAUAGGCAAGUUUACAUUUUAAUUCUAUUAUUAUAGUCUCUUAUAAGCAAAGUUCAUAACUCGACAUAUAUGCCAGUGCAAAAUAUGAAUGUGAAUACUACAAAACAAUAUCAUGAACUUCAUUUGAAAAAAUGACAACCCAUCUGAACAUGGGUUCAUGAAUUUUCUUCAGGUGAGACAAAUACAGCAAUGGCUCAUACUAAUACCUCUUCCAUUUCAUGGCUCUACCCAGGUAAAGAGCUCUCUGCAUUUAGCUUGCUCCUCAAAUAUGACUUCCACAGACAUGGGUAGUCCCUGACCUCACUUACCCAUCAUUAGCUCUCUUCAUAUCACUUAUUUUACUUAACUUUAUGUAAUUCUUGGUGUAUUCCUUAUCUUCUCUAUAAAAAAGUAGACUGUAUAUGGGUAGGGACACGAUAUGUUCAUUGCAGUAUCACUGCCACUCUAAGUAUAUGUUCAAUAAAUUUGUAUUGAUUGGUUCAAUGAGUGCAUAAAGAAAGAAAAAAAUAAAGUAAUAGAAAGGCA